rnacentral:misc_RNA from 1 species
GUGAAUCAUCAAAUUUUUGAACGCAAAUUGCACUCUCUGGUAUUCCGGAGAGUAUGCCUGUUUGAGGGUCAGUUUAAAUAAAAAUCUGUGUGGUGGCUGCCUUUCUUGGUUACGCACCGUAUGUGGGUAGUCUUGCCUUCGGUUAAGUGGCCUAAAAUUUUGCAUGAUUUUGUGGAACGUAUGUAAAUGAUUUUACGUACGUUUUCGAUAUCGAAUACUAGGUG